CUAGUGGAUGUCUCUGGACGCCAUUUUGAAGCAUCGGAGGCGGCAGAGCCAAUCGCAUCAGAGCCAGCGAGACCAACCGCAUCAGAGUCACGUGCUACCAUUGAGACCAAUCAAGUCACGCCCCACGCCGACCGACAGGAACAUCCACAGACACAGAAUUGGUGGACGCUUUAUCUGCAUACGAAGGCGUGAACCAUCCUCACGAGUCGACAAACAAAG